rnacentral:snoRNA from 16 species
AUGUAUGAUGAGGAAUCGGGGAGCUGAGAUGUGAUGAAAUCCAUCAGAGCUGACU